rnacentral:misc_RNA from 1 species
AAUACUCAGUGGUGCACAAUAAUAUGUAAAAUGCGUAGCAUGAAAUAUUUAUGAACAAUUCAUAAUUCAAAAAUCUCGCAAUCACAUUUCACAAUUUUUCAAAGCUCAUUAUAGCACAGUUUUGGUCAAACAAUUUAAUAAAUACAGUAUUGCCAAUUCAUACACAACUUGAACCAUGACACAAAAUUUUCGAUCAAUAUCGUAUUGUACACCACGAUAAAGUGAUCUACAAC